UCUGUGGACACCCUGGGAGGUCACUUCCCAGACAUUGUCGCGGAGGCACAGGAGGGCACAGGCUUCUUUCUGCCCCUUGAUGUACAGUCCUUUUCCACAAUGUUGGAAAUAAAAGCUGGGCCUUCCGUUGUCAUACUGCUACAGUUUCUCAGAGCCCUGCAGACAAUGACUGAGAAGACAAACCAUGCAGGAAACAUCU